UUCAACAGAUACCACAUGGGAAAGAUAAAUAUUUUUUUCUUCUUUUUUUAAUAAAUCUAAUAUCAAUUAGUUUGAGGUUUGCGGUUCAAACUUUUUCACUUUACUUGGAUUUGGUUCACUGUCGGGGCUUUAUAAAUUAAGUAAGGGUGUUAGAGUUGAAACAAAAAUUUCAGGUUUUAAUUUAGGGGGCUUCAGCCCUCUAAGCCCUCCAUAAUUUCUGCCAGGAUGCAUUCUAUCUAAAGUCUACGCCAGACAUUGCACCAGAAGACCUCUGCACCUAGAUGUAGGAAGUGCACUCGGGGUGGGGUAAGGUUCGGUUAGGUGCAGGCUGUGGGGUAAGAUUAGGGCAAGGGUUAAGCUUGGGUAGUAAGGGUACUGGGUAUCUAUUCAGAUCCAAUAAUAGUGGAUCUAAUUGCCUUCCCUCCCAAACUACUUAAUUCCCAAACUCUACCCUAAUUAGCCAAAAAUAAAGAAACUUUCAGUAGUGAAAAAUAUCCUAAUUUCCUAUUUUCCUUUUUAACUGAAAAGUUCUUUAGAGCUUUGUAAAAAAUGAGGACAUGGUCCUCUAUUUCGCCAGCCCCAUGAAUUCAAUAACAAGUUAACCUCGCACCAAGGACGUGAAUGUUCCAACUUUACCUCUUUUUUCCUAAUCGUUCUCCGUUGAACUAGUCCUUCAUUGUCAUCAAGGGUCAUUACAUCGUAAACGAGUCCUCUGGAACCUGAAGGCCAUACUGCUCUCUGAUUCUCUUGUGCAUAGCACGGUAGCCUAAUAACUGAUCUGGACCAUCUUUUUCUGCAUUAAAUGCCUCACCCACUUGAUUUACAGUUGUAUCGUAGUCGACGAAUUUUAUUCCAAAAUGUUUCAUGCGCCUACUUGAUGUACCAGGGCUCCAAGCGUACUGAGAAAAAUCCCUUUGCAGAAAGUCAAGAAUUUCAGCUCUUCGCAAGUUUCUGGCAACCAUACAGCGAAUAAAUUUUUGGAGUUCGUUAUCCUCUGUCCAUUCGUUAUUUCUUUUAUAUUCUGCAGCCAUAUGGAGCAAAAUCUCCCUUUCUUGGCUACAUAAGCGAAAGGUAAUUUAUUUAGAAAAUCAAAAAGGGCGCGAAAAGCUGCAUGGAAAUAAUUUGAAAAAAUAAUUUAAUUAUAACGAAAUAACGAAAAAAUAAUUUGAAUUUAAUGUCAAAUUUACCACAAAUAUCUGUGAUUUUUUUAUAUUUCAUAAAAUAUGUUUCUGUUUUUUGAAUGAGAAUGCUGGGCCACCAUACAUUACACCAAACUUGCCUUUUUGAACUUAUUUUGAAACAGUUCAUCAGCACAGUGCUCAUCAGAGCUCUUUGCUGUAAGCAUGAGGUAAUGCUGCAUUCUUCUUUUUGCUGACGAUUUUAUUCUUUCUAAACAAACUAGUCUUCUAUGAUUCCUUCUUGAUAAAUAUUUUUUACUACCAGCGCAAUAAAUUUCAUUAAAAAAACUUGCUGCAAGUAAUCAUAGCCUACUAAAUUUUCUUGCCGGUCAGCCAUGUUGAAACUUUGAUCGAUUAAUCAAUUUGAACCACUUUGUAUGCACUAGCAAACUGGCCUGGGCUCUGCCCAACUUGCGUUCACACUGUGAAAAAGCCGCUUCAGUGUGAACAGAUGAUAGGCCUGGGCCAGGCCCAGGCUAGUAUUUCUUAGGCUAGUUUGGGUAGUGUGAACAUGGCUUAAGGGAGGUUAAUUGUUUCACUUAUGAGCUGUUUCAAUAUAUUUGCAUUUAUGCUAUUUAUGAAAAAGUACCCAAUAGGGACAUACCAUGGCUUUUUUAGUUUUGAAGCCAUUAAACAAGAGCAUUUGUUGCCAUUGUGUCUGGUGUGUCUGCCUUGAAGUUGCCAUAGUCAACAUUGUCAACAAAUUUAGAAUUCUUCUUAUCCCAUUCCAUUUGUUUUCUUAUAGCAAUUUCAUCGAGCAUUAGUACAGAGUCCUUGCCUGCUACAGAUUCAAAGGUUUUUUUUCAAAAAGCCUGGUUCACAGUCAAUGUUUAUAGACCAAGACCUUAUUGUUGCUGGGUGUGGCAUAUUAAAUGACUUUCUGAUGAACUUACAGGCUCUUGGACUAUAGAAUUGCAGAGAAAUGGCAAACUCUUUCAUUUCAUCAGAAUACCUGGAACAAGACACUUUUCCAAAAUUCUGUGCUUCAUUUCUGAAAAGCUCUGCUGUCAUAUGCCCGAAGUUGUCUGCCAAUGACUUCUGAUUUUCUUCAGAAAGCAAUUUAUACUUGUGAAGUUGGUCAUGACUCUUAAGUCUAGUUUACCUGAAGACUCUGAGUUUGGCAUGGAAAGAGGAUAGUGUUGCUAGCUGCUAGUUUUGGUAGGCCAGUUUCACAAAACUGCAUGGUGACCAAUUUGAUGAUCGACCAUUUAUUCGAUAGAUUUGGGAAUUUGUUGAGAAACAUUGACCAACCAAUGCUGUCCUCUAGACAGCUUCAGAUAUUUGCCAAUGUUGUUCACAAUAAAGGGGCUACACUGAAUAAUUGUUGGGGGUUCAUCGAUGGCACAGUCAGGCCUAUUUGUAGACUAAACCAAAACCAAAGAGCUGUCUACAAUGGUCACAAAAGGGUACAUGCCAUAAAUUUUCAGUCUGUUGUGUGUCCAAAUGGAAUAAUUGCCAAUCUUUUUGGCCCUGUUGAAGGCAGAAGGCAUGACAGUGCAAUGUUGCAAAUGUCCGGCCUCCUAGAUCAGUUAGAGUAGCAUUCUCAUUCGCCUGAAGAGGAGCCACUUUGUCUUUAUGGGGACCCUGCAUACCCUCAUAGGAUUCACCUUCAAUGUCCCUUCCCAAGAAGACCAGAUCAACUUGCAUUUAAUGAGUCGAUGAGCCAAGUUAGAAUUUCAGUUGAGUGGGUGUUUGGGGAUAUUAUUAAUUAUUUCAAAUUUGUUGACUUUAAGAAGAAUUUGAAAAUUGGUUUGAGUCCUGUAGGGAAAAUUUAUAUUGCUUGUGCUUUACUGAGAAAUGCAUUGACAUGUUUAUAUGGCAACAAUACAUCAACAUUUUUUGGUAUUGAGCCUCCUGCACUGCAAGAAUACUUUCAGUGAGCAAACAAUAAAAAAGCUUUUAUCAAAGCUCCCAAAACAGCUUUUUUUCAAAGCUACAAAAACAGCUUUUUUCAAAUCUACAAAAACAGCUUUUUUCAAAGCCACAAAAACAGCGUUUUUAAAAGUUACCAUAUUGCCAAGAAGUAUGAUAUUUCUUAGCACACACAAUUUUUGAAGGCUUCUCUCUAUGUUCAGAUGUAGAUAAGCAAGAUUAUAUACUCAUUUUAAAAAAUAUAAAGACAGUAGCUUGAAUAUAUCAAACAAACAUAUCUCAAACAAAGCAAAAAAGGCUAGAAAUAUGAAGAUCCAGAUGUUACUGGAAAUUAUAGCUGUUACUUAAGAAAUUUAGGUUAAAAGGAAUAAACCAGCCUAUUUUUUGAAAUUCUUUGGAAAAGAUUAAAGCAUGUUUCAUCCAACAUGUGAUAUUUCUUUAAAAAGUGGUUUAAUUGCCUCCUGAAAAAAACAUAUGGAAAAAUUUAUACACAGCAACCCCUCCUCCCCUCUCCAAUCAAAAAUUGAAGCCCUGUCUGAUUUAUUCUUUUUGUCAGCACAUCGGGCUAACUAGUCCCCAGACCUUUCCAGCUCAUCUCGACCUGUCGCGUCAUGUUUCGUAAACUCUCUAUUUACAGUCUUCCUUCAAGGUUCGAAGAUCUCAAUUAGUGCUAUCCGUGGUCUUUUCCCCACUUUUCUAAAGGUUCUUUCUCUUGCUCUCUACAAAAAAUUUCAAAACUUCUUUCUCCUGCAACCGUUCAAAUUGGACGAAGACUUUUCAAAUUCGACCAAGGCUUUUCAAAUUCGCUUUGCUUUCCACAAAGGAUUCAUUGGAUUUUUAGUUAGAAUGUAGCUAAUUAAUCUAGGAGCACUGCUGCUUGGAUUUCCUUUUCGAACUCAAAGCGCUUCUCGACAGUCUAUUUUGUGCUAUCGUCAGUCAUGCCGGGUGCUCUAGACAGACACAGACCUCAGGUGAGUCUUGCUAGGUUUUUAUAAACUUUUCAGCGUCAUUUUACUUUCCUUAUUCUCGAUUGAUUGAUUGAAACCCUAUUUGUUAUUAUUUUGUUUACAAGAGCGAUGUAAUCCAUGCUUUAAUGAUCUUGCUUUUUUGUUUUAGUGGCUACGUACACCCGCUGCUGCCUGUUUUUUUGGUUUGCGAUGGCUGCUGGCUGGCUGUUCCCCUUCUUCACUGGCAUCAGAAUCGGUUGCAUGCAAGUACAGAUCAAAGAUCGUUUCAAGCAAAAAUUAAGACACAGAUGUUAUUCUUGGACCUUCAAAACAAAAUUUAUGUCAUUUAUGCUGGUGUUACAUCUAACAAUGAAACAGCUGGACUAUGGAGAAGAGGACUCAAGUUAUAUGGAUUAGCUGUUGUCUGUUAAUUGUAUUUUGUUAAUUUGUUAUUAGAGUAAGAAUCUUUUCUGAUGCACAAAACUUUGGCUGUUAUCUUUCAAUUUCUCCGUGCUUGUUGCUGCAGUGUUUCAAAAGCUAAUUGUGACGAAGAUAUGAUACCUGGGCCUCAAAUGAAAAGAACUGUGUGAUAAUUUUAAUUCUUUGUUAUUUUAAAUCUCGAAAAGUCACUGGUGGGAGCAACCAAACGAACGAACUGGUGGGAGCAACCAAAAACAUGUUGCUGUCAAGCUUUAAAGUAGAGUUGAGAAGAAAGAACUGAGCUUUCAGAUUAGCCUGGAGAAAAUCGAAAGAGCCCCACGAGUCAUAGAGGAAUAAAUGAAAUGAUUAUAUGGAAAUUUAAACACUGAAACUAGAACAAACACGAGACUGAGGUAAACCAUUAAAAUAUAUAAACGAGGAACACGAAUAGACCUGGGCUUGCAAAUGUUUUGAAGCAACUUUCAAUUAACGGAAGCCUAGCUACCCUUCGAAGCCCGCCAUGCGGUAGUGUGCAUAGAUUACCCUUUGAAAAGACAAGAAUACUCCUGAAACCCCCACUUUGUGAUAGUAAAUAUAGCCUUGGUAAAGAAAAGAAUUUUGUUGAAGUCCCCAAUGAAUUCCAGGAAAUUAGCCUUGGUAAAGACAAGAAUUCUGUCCAAGCCCCCAAUGAAUUCUAGGAAUAUCUGCCACGGAAAGAAAAGACAACAAUGUCUAGCCUCUCCCUCAAAUUGAAUGGAUACACCCCAUAGGGGUCACGUGAUAAAAAGCAGCUUUCUCUGCUUAAAGAUUUUGGUAAAAAAUUUCACUCGCACUCCUUUGACUAUUGCUCUCUACCCCCUUUUAUUUAAGGCAACCCCCUUCCUAGCAUACGCAUGGAAUUAAGUGGAGAUAAGAACAACAUUGCAAUCUCUAGAUAUCGUAGUAUGCCUUCCGCCAACAAUUUAAAUGCCACCUAGACAGCUGACUAAACAAGAUACCUAAUCUCUCAUUUCGCAAGUUUCAUCAAGCAAUGGUAAAAACCAAGGUGUUAGAUUACCAUAAAUCACCUUACUGUGAUUCAACAGAGACAUCCCAAAGUUCCAACAAUUUUCGCAGAGUUUUUAUUGUGCAGUCGACAAAAGUGAAGACCACAUAAAUUUAAUUAUCAGAUUUGAGUACACAAAUUUAAUUAUCUAGUCAACUCGCUGGAAGGUCAGGCUUGUAAGGCACUGGAAGGAUUACAAAUCUGUGAAUAACUAAGAACAAUGAAAAGGCCAAAGUUCUCUAAAAGAAAGAUUUUGAAAGAAAAAACGUAUAAUCAGUGCUCACAUCCAAGCAUUGUUAAAGUUGAAAUCAUGUGAAAAUAAAAAGAUCACAGACCUCUGUGUGAUGUAUGACACAAUCAUGGUUCAUAUUCGUGGUUCAGAAAGUCUAGAAUGCCAGAAGACAUAGCCAGCCAAGUAUCGCAACAAACCUCAGAGGAUGUAUGGAGUGUCGAUGAGAUUAUGACCACCAUUCAACAAGAGAUCAAGGCAAGAGAUUGUAGCAAAAAAUGAUUGGGACAAAGAAAAGAUUAAAUGUUUGGAAACAACAGACUUAUGUACCACCAUAAUCCUUUCUGGCCAGGUUGGAGAGUCCCUCAAAGAAUAAGAAAUCAAUUCAGUGUUAUAUCUGCAGAGCCAUUCUUCAAACGAGUGCUAGUAGGUGACAGACCUUAGACAACGCAAGGCAAUUUUGCAAGCAGCAAUAGGAUUCCUCAGUCCAGUGGAUGUGUGCUUCAAUUGUUCAACUUGUGUUAAGAGCAUAAAACUUAGCAAACCCAUACAGUUUUGUUUACUGAUCAUUUUAAGAUUUGGAGUCACUCCCGGAAACACCCUAGUGAUGUCAUUAUGACGUCACAACUAUAAAAGACUUACCACUUUUGUAGGCUAGACUGGCUGUUUCUGUGUCAAUGACAACCAGAAUGCAAAAGUGACAACCAGAGGGUUGAAUAACAGUAGAAUGCCCAAUGGCAUCACCUGAUGACGUCAUAGCUUUGUUAACUUUGUCAUCAGGAUAAGGAAAACAGUUGAGUCAGACUAAUUAACUUAAUAAAACCUAAGUACUUUGAUAUUGGUGGUAUGAAAAACUUUUAAAGGAAUGCAUAUUGAAAAUGAUUUAAGUGUAAUGAAAUUGCUUUUGUAACUGAAAUUGAUCGAAUGUAAAUGUAUUUAAUUUGAAAGAACGAUUGUUACUUAACUAAUAUAGGUUAGUAGUCAUUUACAUGUCAGUAAUGCAUAGCGACAAUCCUAUUUACAGUCACCACUGCAGAAGCAAAGUGCUGUGCAUUCCAGUCCAGAUUUUUUUACAUUUACAAGAAUUUUUGCAACCUUUUUUACAAGCACAUGUAUGCGAAGAACAUCAACCACUUCUGGCAAACUGGUCCAUCAUGGUUGCCAUACACCUUCAUUGUAAUUCCACCCACAAUUCUCCGCACUAGCUGAUGACUUGACAGGAUUUAACAUUUGUUCCCAAGUAUUGGCUUGCAAGGCAGAUCUGCAAACAUGAUAAAGAAGUGAGGUAUGUGUUGGUAGAAUGAUUUCAAUGGCUCAGUUCUUUUAAGCAAAAAGAUCCAAUCGAACUGCACCUACUGACGAUAAUUCACUGGUGUGAUCGAUUAUUGCCAUAUCUUCAUCAGAUAUGAUCGAGGGAUUUCUUGCAACUGAAAGAAAAGAGGAAAAGACUGUGUGUCAGUCGGAGCAAUUUUCUAUGUUUUCAAUGCAGAUAUCUUUCCUUUUCCCGCAAACAAGGGAACUAUCACAGCCAUUAAAUGCAUGCAACAUGGUUAAUGCAAGGGUCCUUUGCUCACCUAAGAAUACAACUGGCUUGUUAACAUUGAUGUAUGCGAAGUAUUGCCGUAAUCCAAUCGCAAUGAUCAGCUGUAGGUCCCUUUGUCUUACUACAGCAGCGACCCCAAGAACUGCGACAUUUGUGUCAACUGUAUAUAUGAUUGCUCUAUCCAUUCCCUGUCCUUGCUUAGCAACUUGUAGGUGUAAAAAAAAUCCUGCUUUCAGCCUCCUUGUGGUUGCAUGGAUUGAUCAGAGAUGUGUCUCCUGUGGAGGCCAGCAUAAAGCAUUCUCUCUGAUUGUCAUGAUGACUGUCUUUCCUACAGGUCUCAGAUUUGCAUGAAUUAACGGUGUAAGGUAUUAAUAGAGUUCGGUCUUGUUGUCACUGUGGCACUUAUUGUUACAUAUUUUGUUUACCCUCUUCCAUAGUGAACUGGAUGUCUUUGUGCAAGCUCUGUAACAGAGCUAGUAUGUUUUCUGAAUUGUCUAUAUCAUGGUCCCAUAUUAGGAAACAAUUAUCGAGGUAUCGCCACCACCUAUCUGUAAAUUGUUUCUUUACUGUGAUCCCAUACUUCUCUUCAAUCUUGUUGUAUAAUUUUGUUUCUAAAUAUCCCAUAACCAGAGUUGCAUAAGUCGAACCCAUCUUUGUACCAUUGCAGUUCCCUGUACUUGUAUAUAGUUCUGAUUAUCAAAGCAAAAUGUGUUACAUUCCAAAACUAGGCAAAGAGCUUUAAUUAUGAAUUCUUUUGAUAUGUUUCUUUUGGUUUCGUUUGGAAAAUUGUCUAUCCAGUAAAUGAUAUUUUCUUUUCCUAGCUCGUUAUUGAUGUUUGUGGACAUAUUUGUCAUAUCAAAUGUCAUUAGAGAUUUGAAUAGGUAAUGAAUCUUUGUUAAAAUGUCAAUAUCGUCUCUGAUAUGCCUUCUUAUGUGUUGUACAUAUGGUUUUCAUAUUAUGUCUAGAAAGUCACUCAAUUUGCUUGUGACACAACAUGGGCCUGGUAUAAUUGGUCUGAAAAUUGAAUCGUAGGAUUUUUCUACUUCAACCUAUUCUGAUUUGGUUUGCUUUAUUAUAUGAUUUAUGUUGUGAACUCAAUAUUGCUUCGAAUGCAACAACUACUUGAACAGUCCCCGAAGCAAGAAAUAGACCUUUUUAAUUUUACCAUGCCGAAAUAAUCACUUAAAUCAUUACAACUCUACUCUCUAAUUUUACCACUAAGAAAAGGAUUCCCCCUUUACGGGCACACAGCCUCUAUUUAUACUGCUACUUAUCAUUACGUCACUUUACAAAAAUACCGACCGUGAUUGCAUCAUACUUGCGAGAUUACCAUAGAAUGUUCUAGAAAUUUCUACGCAUACUAAUUAUACCAUGAAUUAUAAUUACAAAGCAAUGUCAGCGGGGGAUAAAAAAAGGAAGUCUUAAACAAAAGAAGUGCAUACGUAUUGUCUCUAAAGAUUAUGUAAGUUUGCAUCACGUGACUUUGUGGCACUCAGUGACUCCGUCACAUUUAUUAUUCUGCUUUUGUGUUUUUUUGGUAGUCCGUACAGUUGGCUGGUUUUAUAAUUGAGCUUUGUUAAAUAUUUCACUUCUUUCUCGGACAGUUUGUUUGCGUGUGUGCGAGUUGGUUCUUCUAUUCUUUUGAGGAGUUGGCUGUAUAUAUUUUUUGCCAGUCUUUUGUAAGUUUCUUUAUCAUCUACUGUUAGUAUCAUUUUAUUUCUGUAGUAUUUAGAGUCCAUGAUUACACAUGCUCCAAUUUUAUCGCUUUGUUUAAUGACAAUAUUUUUUUUGUUUUUGAUCUAUUAUUCCUUUCUAUUCCAACUUGUUAAGAUUAUUUUGUAUUUUCUGCCUGGCAGCGGCAUGCUUUUUAGAAAGCCAGACUUUGAUCUUUAUAAAGAGACAAGUAUCGUCGGUCAGUCUUGAUAUUCAGAUCAAAUAUGGAAGUAUUAUAUUGCACCAAGCUGUCUGACAGAGCAGUCAAAUUGUCAAAGUAGGCCAGGGAGACAGAGGCAUGAGGAUGUUGACAGAUUGUGUAAUGGAACGUUGCUUUUUAUGCAGUCUGUAUUGGCAGGCCAGUUUCCUGAUUUGUAAAAGAAGAUUCGCGCUUUUUCAUCAGCUCUACAUUCAAUGCAAUAGCCCAAAAAGCCAUCACACAAUUUAUUCAGGAAGAAACACCUAAACAAAACCAGUAUACGAGGAACGAAAGCUGUUUUAAUUGAUACAAUAGAUUCAUGAGGAUAAAAAGCUUCAUAUCAACAUGAACUAUUGGAAAUAUAACAGGACAAUCAAGGACAUGGACAUGGAUUUUUUCAAAAAUUAUAAAUUUGUUCUUAUAUAUAUAGACCAAAAAAGGAUUUGAGAUUAUAUUAACAUUUCAACCUUUUCAACAUACUGGUAUAAAAAUAAUUUUUGUUUUGAAUCUGUAAGCUAUUACAAGGGCCUUGUCAGUUCCUUUAAGCUGUCAGAACUUUAACCUGCUAUAUUAAUGAAUAAUAGAUACAUGUUUGUAUUUAAAUACUUAGCUACAUUGAAUAAUAUACUGUAAAUAUAUAUACAAUCAGGCCAGUGAACUAGCUAGCAAAUUUGUAAUUUAAAUUGCACGUGAGAAAUUUUCUUAUAAAAGUAUCAUGAAACAACAAUCUAGAAAAUUUCUAGAAAAUCUGAAACAAAAUUUCUAGAAAAUACCUUUAUGUUGUUACUAGUUUGAAAUAAUAGCAAGAUAACAGGAUGCAUGUAAUCUCCAACCUUCAUCUACCAUUUUUUGCAAGAUCCUUUCUGCUGAUCCAUAAAAAAGUUUGUUACCUUUUUUAUGCCUAGAAUAAUAAUGUUAAUGCUAUAGCAAAUAUCAUCUAAGGAUAUUAAUUAGGUAACAUAAAGAUAAAUUCAAAUGAUACAGUCUAUGCUUAUAUGAACAUUGCUUUUAUGCUUAUUAACAGGCGACUGGCUGUUAGAAAUCUAACAUUUAGAGGAUAAAAUUUUUCUCAAAGCCUGGCAAAUUGCGUGUCACACCUUCUCCAAACCCCUCCAAACCUCUACACCCUGCAGUUUCGCCAAACAUUCAAAAUGGUAAAAUGAUAACAGGCAUCGUGGAGCGUUGAGAAAAGUGGGGGUCUAGAAAAGUUGGGGGGGCUAAGACCGAGAAAAAGACACUUUACUGGUAGUUUAUUGCUUAAUAUUUAGCAUUUCUGCUAAAGCCCCUCUCCCCAGCCCCCCUUCUCUGCGGUACCUGGAUAAGGAUGGAUUGUGAGCUUCCAUCUUGUGAAUGGGGUUUUUCUUCUAGUGCGGCAAGACAUAAAUUAUUAUUCACCUCCCUGGAGAUGAGACGACCAUAAGAAGUGCCUUCGGUCAGAAAUCUAUUCAUAUCUGAAAAUUCCUGAAGUAUUCAUCUUUGAAAAGCUUUAUGCGUUGCCAAGAUGAGGAUUUGCGUUCAGAUUGAUGUUUCCAUCUUUGAUUUGUUGAAUUACUAAUCCAUGUUGGCCGGAAGCCUUUGCUGGACAUCAACACAAUGAAGGAAAAUAAAUAAAACGAGAACUGAGAUUCCAACAUAAAUCGCCUCUUCCAAUCAUCUACUGAUUCGUGCGAAUUUCAGUGCGAAAAUAUUACAAUAGCGCAGAAUGUUAAAACAAUAGCCCUUUCACACGUCACAAAUGGCGUCACAGUUUUCUUUUAAACUACAAUGUUUUGAUACAGCAAAUGUUAAAUAUUCAAAAGUAGGAGUCAAAUUCAAUGCUGAAGUCUGGCCAGCUGAUGUCUCAUUUCGCCAGCCAAGCAGAUUGCAUGGUACCAAAUUCUGGAGAAGAGGGAGGCAAUAAGAUUCACAAAAAACAUCAAAACUACAUUUGAUGAACGACUUGAAUCAUUUCCUGUCAAUCAGGAAACUGAAAAGGCAGAAAAUGAAAAUUCUGAAGAAGAAAGAAAGAAAGAAAGAAAGAAAGAAAGAGCAAAGUCAAAAUCUCUGGUCAGGGAAGGAGACCUCAUUCCAGUUUUAGCCCCAGAAAGUAGGGAAGCAAAGUUUUCGUUGUUUCUUUGCACGAGCAAAUGCAAAAGGGGUGGAAGUAUCAAUGGAAAGUGACUUAGUCCAGAGGGACAGGGGGGUGCAUUACCACCUGACGAGGGACUUUAGCAGACUAACUUUUUCUAGCUCAGAUUUGGUGUAGAAUUCAAAUCUGGAUGUUGAUCAGGCAGGAGAGGGGGCUUUUCCGAAAUAUAGGGGGUUUUGUCCAAAAACUGGGAUGGAACCUGUGAAUAAGCUGUCAACGAUCACUCAAAAAGAAAUUGUACCCGACAAACUUUUUCUAGCUCAGUUAUUGGUCUAGAAUUCAAACCUGGAAGUUGAUCAGGCGGAAGAGGAGGCUUGCAGCUUGUGAAUAAGCUUUAAAUGACUACUUAGCUAAAGUAAGCUGCUUAGCUAAAGUAAAAAAUGUAUUCAACGAAUUGAAGGUUGAUGCUCCAGAUGUCUUAAUUGACCACGCGCAUCGAAUCGGUUGCCCAAGAAUGGCACAGGGAAAGAGAGUGCACCAAGUAUUGGUAAGAUUUACAACUUGGAGGCAUAGGACCAUGGUCUAUAGGGCCAGGAAAAAUUGUACCCAGUACAAGAUAAAAUUGGAUUUGACAAAGAAAAGGAUUGACACAAUAAGGAAGAUAAGCGAUUUGCUUACAAGGAAGAAGCUCGGUUUUGCAUUUGCAGAUGUUAACUGCCGUUUAUGCACGAAGAUUGGCAAGGAGUUUCAUUACAUAAAUAGUGAAGAAGAUCUGCAAGAUAUCAUUAGAGAAUAUGAAGAAAGAAGUGCUACUCGAAGUGUUACCAGAAAUGAUACUAGUAGGGUCACUGAAGAUCAGCAAGACGACCAUGAUGAUGAUGAAAAUGGUGUUGGUGCCAAUAAGAAUAAUUCUGGAUAAGUAGCUUUGUUACAGACCAUUUAUAUGAACCCUUUACUCCGUUAUUCUUUAAAUUUUGCUGAUGGUAAUUUUGGACACAUUUCACAGUAACACAAUACAAUUAUUAGUUUAGUUAAAUCACAAUCACCAGAUUACCUUUUUCAUGAAAUCCCUCCUGAACGUCAACCCAGUUACGGUCUUAGAUACCCUUGUGAUUAUGAAGUAAAAGUUGCUACAACUAAUCGUUUUUCUAACAGAUACUUUCAUAACACCUUGCUUGAGUGGAAUUUGCUUGAUGAAGAGAUUAAGAAAUCAACAUCCCUUUUUCAGUUUAAGAAAAAUUAUUUAAAAUGAUUAGACUGGAGGGUAAUCCUAUUUACAAUAUCUCUGAUAUUGAGGGCGUCCGAUUGCUCUCCAAGUUGCGUUCAAAGUUUAGUUUACUGAAUGAACUCAAAUUUAGACACAUUUUUGAUAGUCUCACUCCAUCAUGUCUUUUCUGGCUACGGCAGACACAGAAUAUUUAUAUGUAGUUAAUUUUGAGUUGUUUUUAUUUGUGAUAUAUAAAUCUAUUUAUAUUUUUUAAAUAUAUUUUUUCAAUAUCUGAUAGACUGAUUUUUUUUUAUUUUCCAUUAAAUUCUAAAGUAAUCUCAUUGAUAUUAAAAUCUUAUUGAUCAAAAAAUGAUUGUCAUUCCAGGACUGAGAAUAUCGCGCUUUGAUUUAUCUCAUGAAUAAAAUGAAUAUAUAUUUCCCAUACAGCCUGAACUAUACAAUGGGAUAGCGCGACCUUUCUCACUGGGUGGGGGAGGAUGUGGGAGAUGCAAAACAAAAUUUUACCAACAGAAUUUCUUCUGUUAUAUUUGGCAAAAUUUGCUUUCACAGUGACAACUUACCAAACAUGUCCGUAACACUGUGCAUAUUUUGAUGACAGAUCAGUUAGAAGAGAUAAGUAUAUACGAAUAAAUAACAUAGGGAAAUUUAAGUACAAUCAAAGUACUCAGAAAUUAUAACUGGUAUAAAAUAAGAACACUAUAUUGAGCAUAGCAUGUAUAAAUCAUCUACAAAUUUUUCAUCUGCUUACAUCAUCAAUUUUUUUGCAAGAAUUUUAGUGGCGAGUCAUAAAAGUCAACGUCGUUCAGAAACAAGGUUUUUAAGAUAAGUACAGAUUAGAAUCCUAAACAUUUGAGUGCUAGAUAGGAUACAUAUCGUAUUCCCUAUGACCAAAACUUGGUUCUCUGAUUUUUGAAGUCGCUUGGAAAAGAUGCAACACAGUUUUGUGAUACCCAGAGAAUGUUCCCUCAAGUUUUGGAGCUUUGGAGUUUAAAAAUUUUUUAAGAUAAUUGCUAAUGGAUUUCUACCAAUACUAGACCAUCUAAGUCAUUAGGCUAUCGUUUACAAAGGGUAGAUGAAAUAUCUGAUGUAUGUAGAUUUGAUGUCUGAUCUGAUGUAGAAAGGAGAACAAAAUUUCAAAGGUGCUUUGCAUUAGGGUCUUAUUUUCCUUGUUUUGAGUUCGGAACACCCACCUACAAUUUUGUCCAAAUCAAGGCAAUCUAAAACAUCAACUGCACAAGCUGAAAUCAUUUUUAGUCUCCUGAAACUAUGCUCAUUGCUAGCAACUGAAAUUGGAAUUGUUAGAGCGAGUUGGUAAGCUUUACCAAGAUAUGGGUAGAAUUUCCGUUUCCCUUGCAACAACAUGGCAGCUUCUCUCAAAUUUUUUGUUUUGCUGUUAGAAAUAUCUUCACCGACCUUUUCCAUUUCUGCCAAUAAUGCAUCUGGAUCUUUGAGGUCGUUGGGAAAGACAUCACACAACUGCUUGACUUGGCUUGCAUUACAUGUUUUUAUUUUAUCUGGCAGCAAGACUGUGACAGGAACAACAAUUUUUGACAAAUAAACAAUUAUUUCUUAAGUGUCAGAGGCUACUCUGUCAAUGACUUUAAACAUCUCUUGGACAUGAUGCAUUUCAAACAAAGGGGCCCUAAAAUUGUCUCUGUCCUCAUCAAUGCUCUUUCGUACCUUGCGGGGGCAAUGCUUCUUCAAAAACUCAUAAAGAGGGGCCAUGCCAGAGGGAACAUUUUUCCACUGCUGAUUUAAGAAUUGUGUCCAAACCAAUCUCAUCAUUUCGAAUGCGUAUUAUGUAUAUGGCAUAAUGCAUCAAGGCUGGAUAAAAUAUGUUGUUCAAUCUCUUGAACUUCAAGAACAAAUUGUUUUAUGGCCCAAGCAUGUGAUGUACGGUAUUUGCCACUUUAAAUGCUCACUUACUUUGGCCUGUGCUCCAUUAUAAGCUCCCGACAUCAAAGCAGUGGUAUUUUAGCACUAAAAGAGAACUUUUGCAAGAGAAAGCUGGAAGUCCUCUAACAUUGUGAUGACUUCGUAGCCACUUUUCCCUUUAAUUUGGGAAAUUUUCAUGAGCCUUUCAUUGAAUUCCUGUCGACAUACCAGAUGACUAAGGAAAUUUGAUCAGCAUGGCUUAUAUCAGAUGUCAUAUCUGCCAUGACUGCGUAAGCUCCACAUGAAAUUAUUUGGCUAACCAAAACUUUGCAAAUUUCCUCUCCAAGAACACCAAUAAAUUCAUUCUGUGACAUGGCACUGAAGUAGGCUACGUGAUAAGACCAGAAAUUGUUGGUUUUAAGCUAGAAGUCUAUAAACGAACCCAUCUUGUUUCAAGGAGUACUAACUGCACAAAAUUUCCUUUGGCAUCAUCUUCACCUCCAUGAAAUGCAAGGAACUAUCUUGACCAUUAUCGACUUCAAUCCACUAAGAGUGUUAUAACCUUUUGGUUUGGUGAUCACUCUUGGUCCUCCUUACUGACUUGCUGUUUUUUGGCAGCAGAUAUUGCUACAUUGACAUGACUUUCUUUACGCUGAAAGUUCUUUAAUCGAAUAAUCGCUAGUUUAUGUGGAACACUAGUGAAAUGAUCCGCCAGUUUAGCUUUCUUCUUCCAUCCACGGCUCUUCCUUUUUACCCCAACGAUUGACUCCCUCUGUAACCCAAUUGGUUUCAGAACGAUUGGAAUUUUCUCCAAAUAGGCUGCAUGCAAAGCAAAAUGCUCUAUCUAUACUUGGACUGUAUUCAAGAAAAGGUAAGUCUGUACCAAUUUUCAUUAAAAGAAUUUUGCUUUCCUUUUGAAAUUACUUCAUUAAUGCGAAAUUUGUCUAAUACUUGCCAGAAUGGCCCUUUGAAUAUGACGAAUUCCUUCUGCUGUGGCAACAAAUUUAUACCUCUCCCUUCUAAAGGAUCCCUUUCGAUAGCACAACUUGAACCGCUGUCUGAUCUUGAAAGAAUUUUUUCAAUAAUCAACUUGUAAUUUCCCAACGCCUCAUUCGCUAAAUGAUGAAGUUCACUAUAUCUUUCCUUGAUCCCCAACGCCAAUUUCUCUAUUUCCGAUAAAAAGACUUCCUCGCUAUAUCCAGUUAUCUGAAAGAAAGAUUGCAGAAUCUGACUUUCUUUUGCGAUCUCCAAAAUUGGUCCAAGCAUUGCGGCAAGCUCAAAAUCUUUUGUCGGUUGCUCUUUGCUGCUGUAGCUUUUAUCCUUAAAAUAUUAAUGAGAGCAUUGAAAAUCCGAAUAUGAAUCAACUAUGUUGUUUGAUUUUUCUCAUCAAAAUGAUAAGAAAGGUUACUUAAACUCAUUAGACUGAUUUUAACAAAUUUCCAUCCCAGUAGAAAGGUUAGGGUAGCGGAGAAGGGUAUUUUAUUUUUUUUUUCAUUGGUUAUAAAUUAUAUCUAAAUUACAUAUAUCAUGCGGGUACAACUAGUAAUGAUGUUAUGCGACCGGCACAGAGACAAUCUGAAGGGCAAAUCACUCCUGAAAAUAGUCUACGAGAUUAAUAAUCACUAGUGAUCAAUUUGUGAUUUUUGUGUGUGAUAAAUUAGAUUUUUUCGUGAUAAAAGUGCUUAAUUAGUGAUUAAUUUUUCAUCAUCUUAAAUUUAUUUACAGAUCCAAAAGUGCUCUCAAAUUAGCUUUUGUGCAAAAAACCCAGCUUGAACAUACCAAGAUGCAUAAACAAAGGAAAAUAUUCGCCAUAAGUCAAACUUAACAACAAUUUUUCAUAAAUCAAAUAACAACCUUUCCUGCCAGUUCGACAGAGAUUUUUGUAAUGUGCUACAUGGAAUUGAAAAAAAAAGUUGGAGCAUCCAUAACAACCGAUUCGUCGAUGGUAGCCAUAUAACUGUCAGCAGUGAGGUACUCACAUGUAAAUUCUAACUCAACCAUUUAAAAAGAAAAAAUCUGCCCCUUGAGACGUUUUCCAUCACUUCAAGAAAUCGUGGAGAAACCAGUUUACAACAACUCCAAUGUUUUUUACGGAAUCUUAAGACAAGUCCACAUAGUUAUUUGAAAAGUGUUUUGUCUUUUGUUUUCUGUCAAAUAUGAAAAUUGGACUACUCGCCUGAUUAGGUAUUUAUUGCAAUCCACUCUCUGAAAGAGGCGCUUCCAAAACAUUCACAGGCUCGGAUGUUCAUUCUGUGCACGUAUUUUGAACAAUUUAAUCUGUGAUAAAGUUUCUUCAUUGUUUCAUUGUAGAGUUUCGAUUUCGUCACUGGACAGUGUUGCUGUCUCAGACUGAUCCAGUUCUACAUUUUGUCCUUGCUGAUUUUCAGGAAAAUCAAUUUCAUCAUUAACCAAGCCAUCAUUUUCUCUAGGAUGUUGAAGGGCUUCUUUAACACUUCAGCUUAAGAAAUUAUUGAUCAUCGUAUGAAUCAAAGCAAAUAUUGCAUGAUUCAGCUAACUCUAUUGCACUUGACUUUGCAGCAAAAUUGGUCUCAGAAAUAUCUUCAAGCCUUGGAGUAGACACCAUAUCCAGACUUUCUUCGUUAGUCUGCAAGAGCCAUUUUUUCCCUCGCGAGAAAAUUAUUUCAUUGUAACUUGUAACUAGCAAAAGACAAAAUUGUAACUUGUGUUUUAUUUUGUUUUUUUUUUCUUUCUUUUUCUUAAGCUAUUAAUUCUGUUAAUUAAUUUAAUUUCAAAUUCCGUUAAAAUUCCUUGCAUUGUAAAAUUUCAAUUGUUGAGACAGUUUGAGUCAUUGCAUGAAGGAUUCUAAAUAAUUGUUCACAAUCUUGAGAGCACCAGAUUCCAAGUGCCUCCUGGGAAAAUACCCUGGAUUCAACAUUAUAAAAAGUUCAACAGCAUUGAGUGUUUACUUUAGUGCAUGUAUAAGCGUUGUUACUGAUAAAAAAGAAGGCAUCUUUUUGGCAUUGACUGUUCUCCAAAUCCUCAAGGAAAAAUUUGAUUUCCAAAAAUUUGCGUAAGCUACCUAAUGCAUGAAGUGACUUGUCAAAAAAGAACCUCGAAUAUCUGGCAUUAAUGAAAGAUAUUCUUGUCCCCUUCCAUUUGAGAGCAAAGUAAUUUGGCAAGUCAAUCAUCAACACGAGGCUCCAGCAAAAGUUCUAUGCUAGAAUAGUUUUGCUUAUCCCUGGAAUCAAUAGCCGGCUUAUUCAUGCCAUGAUCUGCCUUGGGAAAGGAUUGAAGAAUUUCUGCUAUGUGUCCUCUGCAUGCUAUUUAGGAACCCAAUGACGACAAGUUUGAGGGUGUUAUCAAACCAGUUCUUAGUUUUGCAAGUAAAUGUACGGUGUCUUGUGCACACAAAGAACUCGUAGAUAGUUCUGGCAUAUCAUAUAACAACCAUCCUUUUGGAAUAUUUGAACUUCUACUUGGAAAUUGUGAUAAGUCCUGUUUUCUCUACCAUGGCCUUCCUUUUUCUCUACCAUGGCCUUCAGAAAAAGGCCAGCACCAUCGCUUCGAAAUGUAUGGCAAGCCGUAGUGGACAAAAGGUGGUUGAAAAAGAAACCAUAUGUUGAGAUUUAUAUCAUUAGGGUCCAGAAUUAUUGACAUGUGGUUGAAAUCAUAAUUGUUAGUGAUCAGUUCUUAAAGUGUUGCUACACUACAAUUUCUAAAAAACUCGGACACUAAAAAUUCAAAGAACUCAGACACCAUGAUUUGAAACUCAAGGCUAUUGGAAGAGAACUGAAGCAACAAUUACGGCUUGCCAUAGAAAUUAUGAUGUCUUGCAACAACAAACUGUCUUCAAUCUGCAUCCGUCUUUGAGAAAUUUUUUUAUCACGUUUCUUUAAAUCAGUACCCAAAACAAACAGGACAAAUGGUACGGCAGGACUAAAUGUGCCACAACUCAAUGUGCAUUUACAGCCUCUUUAACUUCCUAAAAUUAAAAGAUCAGGAAAAAUUAAUGCUAAUAGCAAAAACGCAUGAUCGUAGUGGAUUGCUCACGAACUUCUGGUAAGGAAAAGCCAUGUCAUAGUUUCUGGAUUUUUGCAGCUGUAAACAAAGACAAUUGUCAACAUUUCUAUUGUUUUCAAAUGCUCAUGACAUAUCUGUGAAGAGAUUUGCUUCUAUUCUAAUACUGUUUAGCUUUUAUCAAAGUUCGAUUGCCCAGUACUCGUUUUCUUCAGUAAGUCUUAUUAACAUUAAGACUAUAGUGCACAUGCCUUGAAUGAGAAACUGGCAUUGCAGCAAAUAGAUUUGGGCAGCUUCUGGAGCCAUUUUGUCAUUUUAUCUUUGAGAUCUCCUGGAAUCAACUUGGCCUUUUUUUCUGAAAAUGGGAUGACACAUCUUAACUUGCCAUUCUGUUUGAAACUUUUGCCUGUUUUUCUUUGCUGCCUCUAUAACGUAAUGAUUUGUUUUUGAUAAGAUUAGCAUCCUGCAUUUUUUUAACAUUUGCAAUUAACACAUCAAGAGAAGGCUGAAAACAACGAGUGCCAUUAACAAACCAUAAACAAAUUUGCAUCAUAAUGAUGUGAGCGAGGCCUCUACCGCAGGUACCCAAAUGGCAAUGCUUUGUAUCUUAUACUAAUCUUAAGUCCAGGCAACAAAGUAAGCUUUUGUGGAUCUUUAUGAAAUAUGCCAAAUACACACUUUUUGUCUUCUACAAUACUGCUUGAGGAUUUCAUGAAUUCAACAAGUUUUUCCAAUUCACCAUCUUCAGGAGGCUUGGACACAGCCUUUGGAGUUUCAUACCCACAAUAUUUCAACAGUUUUUUAUGUAGCCUGCUUGUGGAGGUUAUGUGUUCCAAAUGUCUUCUGAUGUUGUCACUAUUGGUACUACACCAGUUUUGUUAUGCUAGAAAAAAAACAAACAAAGUUGGCACAUUUUCCUUUCAAAAUGAACAAAAUUUUAUCAUUACUUACUUUCUUUUGCUUCUCUAUCACUAUCUUUGUCUUCUUGAUCAAAUUGCAAAUGGAUUGAACUGGAUAAUGUCAUUGUUGGCAAUCACAGCAGCAAUCAACAGGAAACGAGUUAAAAUGGUUGUUGGUGUCAAUUCAGGGUUGCCACUCUCGGAAUGUGGGACAUACCUUCAGCGCAUGCAUUGGAUCCCUACCUUCCCCUACUGAUUCUUCCUCAAUUAUCACUAUAAAUCAAGUGCUGUAAUGCAGUUUAGGCCACCCUUAUUCAAUAACCAAGUUCAAUAACAUACUGUUGUACUCUCAUUGGCAUCACAGCCUUAUCGUACGCCCCCUGCUAUAUUGCGGCUACGCCCAAGUUUAUAAAAGUAAAAGUUUUAGAUACAACACUCCUCCUUGAGUUGUUGUGACCUCUGUGAUACUUUUUUGAAAUAUUUUUGAGAUACAUUCCUUUCAUUCAAGGAGGGUAGCCCUUCGGCAAUGCUGAUUUUCAAGGGGUUCUCCACGUAAAAUACUUACAGAAACUCUUAUAAAAGCAAAUUACCCUAUUAACAAUUCAAUGUUUACUAUUUGAAAUAAAUCCUACUUUAAUUCCUUUAUUUGAUUUAACUUUUUACAACAAAUAUCAACAAUGAAAAGCCAAAUGGUAAUUUAAAAUAUAGAAUUUACAAUACUAUACAAAAGAAUAAUUGGAGCUGGUCAUGUUAUGCUAAAUUUUUUAAAUGCAAUUUGAUAACUUUGCUACAUUUACUGUUGGUUUUUCCUAUGCAAAAAUUAUCCUUCCCCCUUAUCGUGAAUUUCUUGAGGUUCUAAAAGGCCUGGUUUCAAAAAUUUUGAGAAUGGUCUUGUUAUCUUCCUAUGGGCCAUGAGUGUCUUUGUUAUUUCACUGUAUAAAUUCCUACAAUUUUUUAAUUAUACCCACGAAAAUUGCCAACAAAGAUUUGAAAUUAAACUCCAUUCACUUUACAACCUUUCUUUUUUAAUAUAGCUGGCAAAGGAGCUUGAAGUAAUUGUUUCAGUGACAGAGAUGACUUAUUCUGUGACAAGGCCUUCACUUUUGUCCCUUUGCAGGGUAAUGAGAAAAUUCUCUGUUGUUUUGUCCAUGUUCUAGAGUGUGAGUUUGCAGAUUUUCAAAUGUUUUAUAGAAAAUUUUGAAAUGCUAAUAAAUUGGUCGAGAGUUCAAAUAUUUGUGACUGGUGCAUUUUUUGUGAUUAAUGUGUUUAUUUCGUGAUUGGUGUAAUUUUUUUGUAAUUAAUGUGAUAACUUUGUGAUUAAUGUGAUUUUUCUGUAAUUAAUGGUUUGAAGAGGAUUGACUUUAUACUCCCACUGCAGAUGAUAUAUCAGGGCAUGUAGCAAUUGCUGCAUACAUAAUUGAUCCAAUUACAGCUUGAUAAUCCCUCACAUUUGCUUAUUUUUCUCCGUCCCUCAGUUUUUCAAACUUCUUCCCAACUUUUAUUGGCAUUGAAACUGGUUUGCAGUCGAACACGUUGAAUCUUUUCAGCAAAUUCUCAAAAUAUGCUCUUUGAUUAAUGGUGAGAGUCUUUAAAUCUCUGUUUCUUUUGAUGGACAUGCCUAAGCAGUAAUGAAUUUCUCCUUGAUCUUCCAUUUCAAAUUGAUCUUUCAAUUUCUUCUCCAACAUGUCACAACUGUUUGUUGCUAACAUAAUAUCAUCAACGUAUAAUGCAAUCAACAUUGUAUACCGAUCUCCUUUCUCAGCCUUAUAGUAGAUGCAUGGAUCGGCAUUGCUUUGAACAUAGUCAAUAGAAAAAGAAUGGUCUGGAAACUCUAUUGUUCGAAGAUCGAUAUCAUGAUUCCACUAGGUUCCAGACUCUUAGAGUGCACCAAGUUGGUCUGUUGUUGUGUAUGUGUUGACUCGAGACGAGAUAGAAAUGGAAGCUGCCGAACCCGAAAUUACUUUUGUAUCUGAACUUGAGGUUAUCGUUGAUUUUAUGGGUGAUCAAAAUUUCUUUGAUGAUAAUGAAGACUUCGAGAAAGAACUUGUUGAUAUUUCUAUUGAGGUAAGUUAAUUCUAUUUUAUUUUAAACUUCAAAUCGCUUAUGACACGUCGGCGACCCUUCUAGGCCUAUUACCAACCAACCAGUUUAUUGCACACGAUCCAGUCGAGGUGCUGUAAAAAAACAAAAACAUGUUGGGGGUGGUAAGUUUUGAGCAAAUACCUGUGUCAUGAAUAUAAAUUUUAGUUGUUGAUGGUUUAACAAACCGGACCUGGAACAUUUGGAAUCAAAUGUAGUAAACUACCUAGCCCAAAACCAAACAGCAUUGCGUUUUAGCAAGGCAGUAUACUGGCCUGUAUGAUCUUACUGUCACCUAUGAUUGCCCAGUGUUUUUUGCAAAAUUAAUACAAUGUGGCUGGGAGAGGAUAUCUCUCAUUUUCUAAAAAAAUAAUCGUUGUACAUGCUUACAACCCAAUGCACACAAACCCUAGUUGAGCAUAAUAUAAAACUAUGAGGUUAUGAUAUUGAAAUAUUAAAAAAGUAGGUAAAAUGCCAAAAUUCAAAAGCUAAAUGUGACUAUAGGGUUAAAGAUGCAGGUACACAAUUCAACUGAAUUUAAAUUCUAGCAUUUUACAUUUUAGGAUGAGCCUGCUCCUGAUCAUUCACUUAGAUGUACUGAUUGUAAGAGGGUGUACAAGACAAGAAGGGGACUGGAAAGACACACUGAGAUAUGCAACAAAAAGAAAAAUCCUGUUGAUCAGCAAAUUUUGGUCAGCCUACUCACUGAAGCUUUAAAAAAAGUUUCUCUGGAUGAAUGUUGCCCUGUAGAAAUGCAAGAAGAUGUUGCAAAAUGUAUCAUUUCUAAUGACCAUCCUCUUGUCAGUUCCAAACUGGUUGUAGAACUCUUUAGUUCACUGUGCAGUAAACUAGAUAUUGAGACAUUUUAUGUUGAAUAUAUGGCACAGGUAGUUGCUAAAGCAAAUAUAUGGCUUCCUGACUUGAAAGAAGCUACAGCAGUUCAAUUAGCCAUGCAAUAUGGUGAAAAAAUGGUUCUUUUCUUCAUUUGUUUCUUCAAAUCUUGAGCUUCAUUUCCACCUUGAAAAUUGUUUUCAAAUGGAUCAAUUUCUCUUGCAACAGAAUGUCUAUUGAGGCCAUCAUGAAACAGUCCACACCUUCACAAACAGUAAGCUUUAAUAGUUCUUGCAACAAUGAUGCUAUACUGUGAAUUCUGACGUUUCUUUUAUACUUUUUGUAAAUGUAAUGAUCAUCUGGUAAAGAAAAUCCAAAAAUAGUCACUGCGAAGUCAAGACUUUCAUCAACAUUUACUUUGAUUUUGCUAGCAAUAAAUCCUUUUUCUUUCCUUUCAAAGAUAUAACUACUAUCAUUAAGUUUUCGGUCCCACCCAUUUAACUUAAGCUUGGCCACUGAUUCAGAAAAUAAAUCGAAAAUCUUGCAUGCUCGCUUUGGCUUGCUUAAUGGCACCUCUUGUUCACGUUUUCACGUUUUUCAAUUUGAAAAAAACUUGAAUUCCUUGGUUCUGCGUCUUUUUCAAAUGAUUUUUUUGGCAAAUUCUGUGAUGGUAAACUUCCAAAUCUGACUUUCUUUCUGUCAACACCUGUAGAGAAAUUAUAACACAAAAUAAGUAACAAUAACAGCGUUCACUUAUUUACAGUUCAUUUCAGUUCAUUUAAUUUUAAAUCCUACUACAUAGAAAUUUUGUCAAAAAAAACUAUAAGCUAAACAUAACUACAGAAAAAUUAGAAAAUUUUCAUGAAGAGGUAUUCUUAAGGAAGAGGUCUCUCAGUAGCCAAAAUACUUUGAUCUUUUGGUCAAACGCUAUUGAAUUUGUCAGCUGUGGCGAAAUUUAUGCAUAAAUUGGGAGGCUAAAUGGCCCUCCCCCGUUUAGUAUGACUGGAUACAUUUUUCUCAAAAAGAAGCGCUGACAUAUGAAUACAGUACAAAAUUAAGCAGGCAACUCAGAACAUCCACUGGGCAGGGCUCGCUACGCCACUCGAAACCCAUAUUUCUGCUACGAGUCUAGAGUUUUGAAUAAUAUAUCGUUGAUUUUUGCAUACUCACUGUGUUCAAUGUCUUCUGGAGCAAAAUGCAAUUCGCAAAUAUGCAAUGAAUCUCGCGCUUUCUGCUCUUUGAACGAGGGAUCUUGCUCUCUCUUUCGUUCAAUAAUUGCAAUCCAUUUUUCUCUUAUAAUUUAUGCCUCUGCGUCUAUUGCCUUCGGAAGUUAAAAAAUCCCGAUACCUGAUUUUCUUCAGCUUGAACUACAGCCAAAAAUUGAACAGUUUGCUCCCGGCAUUACUUGAUCAUCAUGUUUUCAAGGCACAACAACAAAGAAUCUAAGGCCACAAAAGUUUUGGUGCACCCAAAGAGUCUGGGGGAACAAACUCUUAAUUGAUCAACAUGCGGCUCAGAAUCCUUUGAUCUGUGCCGACAUUCCAGACCAUUCUUUUUCUAUUGACUAUGCUUUGAACGUAUCCAGAAUCUUUCAGAUACCUAUCCAUUGUGGUAUUCCAGCAUCUUGCGCAAUGUUUCAAGCCAUAAAGACUCUUUCGAAGUCUGCAUACUUUAUCUGGAUGGUUUUAAUCAGCAUAGCCUUUUGGCUGUUCCUUAUAGAUCUUAUGCUUGAAAUCUCCAUUUAGAAAUGCAGUUUUCACGUCCAUUUGGUGGAGUUCAAGAUUCAGUUGAUUUGCAAUUGAAAAGUGUAAUAAUAGUCUUGUCCAGCUUCUUGAGAGUAGCCCUGAGCCACCAAUCUAGCUUUGUAUCGAUCCACUGUUUCAUCUGCUUCACAUUUCAUCUUGAAGACCCAUUUGCGUGUGACAACAUUCUUUCCUGGUGACUUGACUAAAAACCUUGGGUAUAAGGCACCAUGGCCUUUGUGGAUGUUGAUAAUGUGAUUCAAAAGGGACAACCAUUUCUCCUUGAUCUCUUGAAUGUUCCCCUCUGAUGAAGCUGAAUGUAUACAUGAUUUUUAUGUAUUGUAUCCAUUCCAAAACUGCCCUGUUAUUUUUUUUCUUCCCAAUUUUCUCAACCAUUUUUCCAAAAGCUACAAAAAACCAAAGAAAUAAACCCUUUUGUUAACUAAAACUUUUUGUUAUUUGGAAAUGUGAACCAAAAUGUUAUCAUUCUCAAAAUUAGAUUGGCAAAAGUUUUUGCUAAUUAUGUGAUCUAAAUAGCCAUAUAUUGUUCCUAAAUAUAUGUUCUAGGGAAUAUUAAGUUGACAAUUGUUUGACUGGUAGCAGCAAAUUAAUUUUGCUGAGCAAGUUUCCUAUUCGUAAAUGUUGUAUAAAGAUCUUGUAAACAGCCAAUAUAUUUUUCUAGACUCUAGAGUGACUCGUGUUUUGAUAAAUUAUUAUAAGAUAUUUGAUAAUAAUAUGAAAAUGUACUGACAUUUUGCAACAUGAAAAACAUCAAAAUAGUGUUGUUUAUCUUUUUUUCAGUUCUCAUGUACUUCCUUACUGGUCCAUGCCUGUCCGUUACCAAAAUUUUGUAUGAGACAUCUUCUAUCUUCUGCAAAGCUCUUUUCAAAUUUUCUAGCUCCUGUUUCCUCCACCAACUUCAUUUGACUAGAAUGAUAAGAACUUUGUUCUGUUAACCAACUUUGUUAUGUCCAUUAUUUACAUGGUAACAGGGGUGUAGAGCCUGACCCUCCUAUUCAAUUUGAAAGUAAUUCUUCAAUGUUUCUUCUGGUUUUUGUUUUUGAUAUACUUUUUGCUAAAUCACCCUUGUUCCUUUCAUAGCACUACACCUCGCAAAUAUUGGACGGACAAAAUGGCGGAUGGGUUGCAUGUAUCUAUGUGAGGUUAAACGAAGCUCUUGCUUGGGCAACUGCAACAAAUAAUGCUUUGAUUAUGACUUUUCUAUGCUGUACUUUAUAAAUGUGAAUUGAUCUCUAAAUAAAGUACGGUUCUCUGCGGAAAUUAUGUCAAGAAAAUCAAGAACACAAAACAACGAGUGAAGAGCUAGGCCAGCAUGCCUCUUCAGAUAAUGAAAAUGCAAUUUCACAAAAGUCGAUGGAUGCCUUUGCUGCUAUUGUCGAAGAGAAAUUAGCAAAUGUUGCCAGGAAAGAAUGUAUCUCUGAGCUAAAACAGAUGAUUCUUGAUCAACAACUGAAGAUCUAGAAACUUGAGGCAAAGGUCAUGGUCAUGGAAAAAUAUUUGAAAGAAUUGAAAAGGUGGAGCGGCGUUAUUUCUCUGGACCUAUCACACCAAAGAGUGAAGCUAUUGAAAAGGGCCAAAGAAUUAAUUGAAAAUGAUGAUGGCUAUGCAUUUGCUGAUGUAAACUGCCAACUAUGCAUCAAGAACAAUGGAAACUUCCUUCCUUUCCAAAAUCAGGAAAUCCAGUUUAAAAAGGAAGAAAAAAAAGGCAUACUUACGAUCUAUAUGGACUUUAUGACAUUAUCAAGUACGCCUGAAAAACACUGCUCGCUGUGGAAGCUGCCGAAAAUUCUAUGCCUGUUCAUGGUUUGUUCAUAGUUAAUUGUAGUAUAGUUUGUACCAGUUGAGUUCCUUGGGCUGGUUUUCUGCUGAGUGAUGGGGGUUAGCACGGUGCUACAAACUUAAAAUUUGCGAAGUUCCUCGCGCUGUGUGGCUUCUUGUUGCCUAGUGGAAAGCCCCUCAAUGUCACGCUGAAAUUAUAAAACACCAUAAAAACAUAUUUUUCAAGUAAUUUCUGUAUGUGUGCAAGCAUAUGAAUUAAAUUCUAUUGAUCAUUUCUGCUACAUGUUGUGGAAACACAAUUGACAAUCACAACAAUUUUGAUGAAUUUGAUCAAUUUCCCUUGCCCCAAGAGCAUGCCCACAAAAACCCCAAGAGCUAGUGCAAUAGUGCAUCGCAAUAGUGCAUCACAUAUUGAAAAGGAUGUUCGCUGGAGGAAAUUAUUACAUAGUAAUUGCAUAGAAUCUUUCUUAUCCCGAGAAGGGCAAACAGACAUUGAUUCAGAAUUCAACAUGGAACCAAUCAUUUUAAUUUCCUUAGAUGGCAGAAACACAAAUUUUGCUAGCAUCAGUGGUUUCAAUAAAAUGAUAUGAUGGCGUUUUCUUGGAUAACCAACGUAAGCAGAUUCAAUCAGGCAAUAAUGGGCUGAAUGUUUCAUCGCUUAUCUCUGGUUAACAACCGAAUUUUAAAAAUGGGGAUGACAAAAUUGUAGAUAUACUUCUUUGCUAUGCAUAAUUGUAUGAAGCACUUCAAUAAUGACAAUUUUCGCGUUCAGCAUUAACUUUGUGUAGCACCGGUGUCAUAUGUGUUUCGGUAACCUUAUGCAUUUCGGUCCCGGUACACAAACCCAUGACAAUUUUGCUUAUACAAAAAUGUACCAAAGCUUUUAAAAAACAGGGAACCGAAACGAAUGGUGGAUAUAAGCAUUCGAACCGGUCUGGGAACACAAAUGUUCUGGUUCACACUGUUCAGAAUGUAAAGAACAAUGGAACUAUUUCUAACAAGAGGCUACUAACAAGAAGCAGUGCUGUGAUUUCCCUUGUUGAGUUUAUGCAAAAAAGUAAAACAUUAAUGGCAACUCCAAAGUUUUCUUGAUUAAAAAGUGUGAAAUUUUAAACUCAAAAAGCAUUGUGCUCAAUUUGUUAUUUGUAAAGUGUCGUAAUAUCGCACUACGCUAAAAUCACAUGAUAUGAAACACAUUGCGUUUCACAAUGUUACAUAUUUGCAUAGGGUACCAAAACGCAUUUUUCCCCACACCUUUGUAUAGGAGGUGCGAGCGUUACUGUUGCAGCUAAUUCAGUGCUACUUUCUCUUCAGAUUUCUAUUGUUUUUGACGCUAUACCAUUGCCUGGUUGAAAUUGUAAACAAACAGUCUGAUUGGCUCAAAACAUUUUUCAUCCUUGUUGGGCUUAUAAGGUACCUGGACAGUGGUCGUGUCACAUUCAAUGUGAACUCCUGAAACACAAGAGAGUAUUUUAUUGUCUCUAGUUACUUGUUUCCAUUGAGAAAUGUAUGUUGCAACCCUGCCAGCUUUAAAGUUUGUACAUUCGCAAGUAGAACAUUUGGUUAACAUUGAUAAAAAUGAGAAAAAUUCACAUACAGUUGAAGGAUUUGUUAAUGUCUUCAGGACUGUUUUUCUUGACGGUGUGGUGUUUGGUUUUGAUAGUUCUGGGGGUAUUGUUUCUUGUAGGGCUUUCUCCUGAACGGAUGAUGUUGAUGGCCUGACCAUAAAAAAUCUUGCUGUUGAAAGAGUCGGAUGUUUAUCAAUGCCCUGUUAGGGUAUGAGCAGGUAAAAUGUCCUGUGUUGAGGGUGAAAAAUGAAAAUUUGAUCUAGGGUUUGGUUGGAAAAUUCUACCAAUCUUUUUUGCUUCUUCAACGUCUUUAACAAUUUUACCAAAAUCGUCACCAAAGACAAAAGGGCUGUGCGGUAAAUCUGAGAGAUUGAUACAGGGAGACUGGUAGUCUUCUUUUAGGGCUAGUUUCAUAGAAUUACGCCUUAGGGUUGAAAUUUUUGCUGUGGCAUUACCAAGGAGUGCAAGAGCAUCAACUGAACUCACAACGUAUUUGUCAAUGUUUGCUCUAUCAGGAUCCUUUGAGCUAAAGAGAUAGUGAAUGUUUUGUAAAACAAUAAUGGCAACUUUUUAAAACGUUUGCUGCAAGUUAGCCAAGUGAAGAUUGUGUUGUUUUUUAUCCACAGACAAAUUUGAACAUGCCUCUUUGUUUACCUUAACAGAAAAAAAGGUUUAUGCAGUUCUCAGGGCGGUUAUAUCUCUCAAGUAUAGCAGAAAGUUUGUCUGAAGAAAGAGCCUUACCCCAACGUGAAUUCCAUAAGAGGCUAGUUUGAGGUCGACAUUAUCAGCAACAUCUGAUGGAGUUUCAAGUGCUUGGGCAAGCUCAUCAAGUAGUGACUCUUCAUCGAUAGUUGACUUCCUUCGAUUUUCAUUCGAGAAAAGGUACUUAACCGCAUCAGAAAGGGCGAUGGCACAUUCAUCAUCACGUGGUGCAGGCAAACAUAGCUCAUCAUCAUCCUCAUCACCAUUUCCAAAGAAACAGACUUUCUUGGAAUGUGUAGAUGAUACCGCAAAAUUUAGAGAGCUUUUACCCCUAGAUAGUCCUGUGGAAAAGGGAAAAUGAUCUCUAUUCCAGGUGGGCUCAGUCUUGGAAACUCCAAUGGAGGAAGAUUGUUCUUCAUAUCCGGUAGACAAUUGUUCUAAUUGCCUGGUAGAUAAAAGGUCAGUUUGUCCCGUGAACUCAAAUUUACGCUCGUUGGGUGAUUGAAAAACUAAAGAAAUGGUUUCAUCUGGAUCCGUUGCAAGCUUAAUGAGUAUUUUUGAGAUGCAGCUCAAUUUCGUCAAUAAUUAGAAGAGGAGAAAGAAGAGGAGAUUAAGAGCUUGCAGAGAAGAACCUGGAGAUAGAUGAAUUUGUAGAAAAUCUAGACAUAGCCAUCAAUGAAAAAUUAUGUGCACAAUAUAUGAAAUCUCAUUACAAAACCGAAUUAAGAAAGAAUAUGUUGAAAAUAGCAAAGAUAUAUUUAAUUAAAAGACUGAUGAUUUGAAAAAAAGAAUAACUGAAUUGGAGAAUGAGAAGUUGGAAAGAUUAAAUGUUCUUUGAAGGGACAUGAGAUUUAUUUUUAUGAAAAUGGGAAAUUUGUUGAUAAGAUUCGUAUUCUGUAUGAAGACCUGCUUUGUUUAGAUGUUAGCACGAAUAAUGUUGGGAUGUUAUUAGUAAAUGUUUGAAAGUUGUUGGAGUCAAUGUCCAUAAUCUGCCAAAGUCCACAUUUGAUAAGUAUAUGCUCUAUGAGGCAAGGGCAUUGGCACAGCUUCAUGUUUUUGAUGGAUUGAAAGAAAACUGGAGCACAGAGAACAGGACUUUGCUUUCUGAUGGAACUUCAAAGAAAGGCAGAUCAUUUAUAACAUAUGAUAUUGUCAAAGAUCAUUGAGUAUAUUUAAUAACUGGCCCAAGGGAAAUUGCAAGUGGAGAUUCUGCUACACAGAUAAAAGUUUUGCAAGAUGUUCUUGGUGAUGUUUAUUUGAUGUUCGAUGUUGGGUGGGGUGGGGGUGGAGGGGGAUUGUUGGUUGGGUCAACAAAAUUAUAAAAAGUAUCAACAAUGUGAUGUCACAUCGUUGUGCUCCUCAAAAAAAGUUUAACGAUUUGUUCCCUUGUUUCAGAAAGAUGUUUUGCCAAGAGAGAUGUUUUGUUGAGGGUUGGGAGUCUCUGACUAAUGCGGAAAAAGCAAAGUUAAGUGGAGUGAACGAGUUUUUUUGUGGGUGACACUAGCUUGUAGCACUGGCAGCUCAAGCAGAGGCUUGUUGCAAAAUCUGGGAUUCCUUGUGUUGGAAGGACAAGAAAGUUGGUUUUUUGUUACAGCAACGGUUAAUCAAGGGCAUACAGGUUGAUCCAAACUGUUUGUGAAUCAGUGCAAGAGAAAGCAUGCGAAAAAACGAUCUUGAAGUUACGUCCUUUCUAACAGUAUGCAGAGCUUUAGGUAUGAUAGAUAAAUUAUUAAUCUGGUAAAGAAAUUUCAAAAGAUGGACAUAUUUUAGAUAUGAAUGUUUUUUACCAAGGAUAAUUCGAAAAAAUUUAUUUUGUGGGGGUCAGAUGCAUCUGAAUUUAUGUCUGGUGAUAUGAAAUUAUUUGGAGAUGACAUUUUGGUCAACAAAGAUUGUGUAUUUGAACAUCUUUUUUGCCUAGAGAUGAGGAACAUGAGCAGACGACAAAGCAAUGUUUAGAAAUAUUUUUUUUGUGGGUUUGCAGCUGUGACAAAGAUGUUACUGGGGGAUCAUUUAUGGGAAUUUUGGGGUAAAGAGAAAGAAUAAGCUUUUAGAAAAGAAACAAAGAAUGUAGAGAAAAGUAAUAUUAAAUCAGAAAGAGAUUUUGGAAUGCCAGACAACCGAAUAAAGUUAAAAACCAAAAGCAAGUGAUUUUGCAAUUGAAAGCAUUAUUAUGUUUAAAGCUAACAAGACAGGGGAUUAGAGGGAGAAAUUAUCAGAGGAGAAACGAAACAAGUUCCUAGAAAUUGCAAGGAAAUCUAAAAGGUGCAAAGAGAUAAAUACUUGGCAUCAAACAACAAAUAAUUAUGCAAAGAGUACAAAAAAUGUCUGAAAAACUAGAAAUGAAGGAGCAGAAGGAAAUUGUAAAGGAAAGUCUUCAUUCUAAAAUUGAACAGUUGGGUCUAUUGAAAACAGAGGAGAAAGUCAAGGGCUGGGCUGGGUAAAAAUGUUUGGAUUGGGGAAAAGAGGGAAGCUCUCUGGUUGCACAUACGGUUUAGAAAUAAAGUCUUAGAAAAUAAACAUAGUGACAAGAGUAUUUUUCAAUUAACCAGUAAAGGGAUUUCUAAUAGUCUAGAAGUUUUAUAUAAGAAUCUUUGAAUAUAUAAUAAAAUAGGCUGAGGACGAUAAGGAAUUGCUGAGGAAAAAAGAUCAAAUUUGUGAGCCAGGCACAUCAAAGGUUUUUAUUUUAGAAAAAUCAAGUUUUUGGCAGAGAAGGACAGGUUAUUAAAGAAAGCAUCAGAAGAUUCAAGAGAAACUCCAAAAGGAAAACAGGGACAGCCAAAAUAGAAAACAGCGACAAGAAAAGAGUUGUAUUCAUCAGCCAGAACACCAGUGAUAUCAUGUGCUGAGUAUCUGAUUGGGAAGAAAGUUUCUCAGAGAUUUGUUGAUUGUGAUGGUGAAAGGUGGUACAAUGGUACAGUUGUUAAUAGUGGUAUUGGAAGAAAUCAAUUAUAUAUGAUGAUUACCAAAAUGGAUGGGUCCGGAUUGUGUCCUAAUUUUAACAACACAUCGACAUAACUUCACAUCUUUGAUUUUUUGUGACUUUUUGCAUUGCACGAUUGUGAAACGAGUCAAGUGUGACAAGUAUAGGUUUCCAAAUGUCCAAGUGACGCAGAGUGAUUGGAAAAAAGACCAUUUCAUGGCAUUACACCUUGAAUGGCAUUUCAGAGAACAGAUGGAUGACAAGUGAGCUUUUUGCAUUUUGAUUUAACUUGUUUGCCAAAAAGACACACAGCAUCCACUUCUGCUAGUUUAUAAUGGCUAUCUCACUCAUGUGAAUGGCAGAGGAGAAUGGCUAACCGGAGCCAACACGGGAAAACAGAGGUCAUGUUAAUUAGCAACACAAGAGAUAUUACAACAUAUUGUAAGGACAACAUCAGACUGAUUCAAGUGACCAGGUUCAAGUACCUGGGAGUGACACUGAGAGUGGAGGUUCAAUGGCAGCAGCGAGGUCAAGAGGUAGCAGCAGCAAAAAACAAGUGGAUAGAAUUAGAAAGAGUUAUGGGAGAAAGAUGCAUAUCAAGAAAAUUAAAAGUUAGGAUUUACAAAACCAUCAACAAACCUGUUUUCAUAUAUGGAGCAGAACUAUAGAUCAUAAGAAACAAGGAAGAGAAGCUAUUGUAAACCAUAGAAAUGAAAAUGCUGCGAGGGAUCAGGUUUUUGACCUUAAGGAAAGGCAGAGAAAUGAAAGUAUAAGAAGAGACUGCGGAGUGGAGAAUAUAACAACAGUAAUAAGAAGAUCAAGAUUGAGCUUUUUUGGAAAUGAUUUGAGAAUACAACCUGGGGAUAAGAGAACUUUGAACCUAGAGGUGGAGAGAAGAAGGCCAAGAGUAAGACCAGUAAGAAAACGGAUGGACAACAUCAAGAAGGGCAUGGAAGCACUAGGAAUAAGAGAAGUGGAUGUACUGGACAGAGAACGAUGAAAGAGUGAGAUCUAGCUCUUUAAUUUUCAACAUUAAAGGUAACCAAAAAGAAAACCCUCUUAGAGUCAAAUGUAGCAAUUCUACAAAUUACCCCUGGAAUUUUAAAAGAAUCUGUUUUUCCUAAACUUUAUUAUCAUAUCUUGUAACCAGGAAAAAUCAUUUUUCUUUUUUCUAUUUUUGUUAUUUAUAUUUUGUAGAAGCAAAAGAAUAGCUACCAACACAGUUUUUUAAGGAUUUGCUUGUUUAAUAGAAACUGCACAGGAAGCUGUUAUAACGAGCAGUUGUCAAAGCAUUCACUGUGAAAAAUGCUUAUCAGAUGUUUUUAAUGGGACUUGCCCACAAUGCCAAGAACAAUUGAAAUAGUAGAAUCAAGGAAUAUAGAAUCCAUUUUCAAGAACUAUUUGGGUAAACAUUUUGGCAUAUGCGAGAUAAUCCUGGAUAACAAGACAAAAUAUGACUUUAGUUUUGGGAGAAAAAAGAUCCAGAAAUGUAAUGCAAUUGCAAGAAAGAAAUACAAAGACUUGACAAAUUUUAUUUUUACUUGUUUUUUAUUUUCGAUACUUAAAUCGUCCUCCAGGGCAAUUUUCUCCACAUAUCUGUCCAUAUCGUUGUGUUUGGUUCCACCCAUUGCUGGAUGAUCGACAGCAAUGUAGCUUGGUCCCUUGCAGGGACUGGUACCAGGAACCCUUUCUUCGUCUCUGCCUUGUGUCCACCCAGUAUCCACUGCUUUCUCACAAGGUGGCCACGCUCUGACUUUUGUAGCGCAAACAGACUUUCAUAGAUUUCAACAAUGUGUCCCUUUUCCCCCUAGACGCUCUUGGUGGUUCACAAAAUGCUGGACAGCCAAGACUCAACAAAACUUAUUCCAGUCAAGAAUGGUGUGCUCUCCGUUUAUUUUCAUCUCUCUCAUUGUCUGCAAAACAGACAGCCCCCUCGGGCAGCCCACACUUGUAGCCCACAGGUAUGUCAAGAUGACAACCUGCCACAGCUUUGAAUGCAAGCGCUUGAAAAAGUCGCUUUUUCGCACGUUUAUCGUUUUUCUACAACUUGGACAUCUCCUAGUAACGCCAUUGAUGUGGCGCCUGUACAGACCUUCUCCACAAGGUACCUUGCAUACAUCGCGGUCUUGUUCUCUCGAAAGCAGACCAUGUUGCCUCGUCUUUGUCUUCAAAUUGACACCCAAUUGCCAUCAAGUUGAAGGCCUCGAAUUCUUGCAUUGUUCUUAAUGCCAAAAACUCCCACCUUUGAUAAUGCCAAAAAGUAGCCAAUCUUUACUUUUGCACUUGUUUUUGCAACAUUUUCCAAGAAGACCUCUCUUGGAGACACCAAGGGUUAUGUACAAAUCAAAUCUCAGAAAAUUACACAAUACCCCUUUGCGACAUCUGCGAGCUUGAUUUGCAUAAGAAGACUGGGGCAAGAAAUUGGGUGUAAAAGUUGCCAAGGCCUACGUUUACAUAUGGAAAGUGCGUUUACUGGUGACUUCAGACUGCUCAAAUUGACAUUAAAAGCAUUCAAAGUUUGUGGAUAUUCCUUCUUGCCCAUCUUCUGUGGUCUCUUACACCUGCGGACAUGGUGUUGUUCAGCUUUGUGCUAUCUAAUCGCUUUAUGUGUGAAUCACCAAGCAGGAGGAUCAUUCAACCAUUUGCUGCAAAAAUUUCUGAAUAUAAAGAAACAUCAAGAAAACUUGGAAAACGAUUAUUGAACUCCAGAACAAAAGAUCAAAAUCUAGCAAUAUUGAUUGUAUCAAAAAUUCAGGCAAUGCAAUUAUUAACAAAAGAGAAAUCUCAAAUACAAUAAAUCGAUUUUUCGGUACAAUUGGUAAAAACUUAGCCAGGAAAAUCGAAGCUGUUCCUAACCCUCGUCUAUCUGGGAACUUCAAAAAUACUAAUGACAAUGUCAAGUUCAAGUUUAGGAUGAUAGAAGUGCAGGAAAUUAGGAGUGCGAUUUCCAAAACCAAGUCUUCAAAGAGCUUUGGGAAUGACAAUAUCUCCUGCUAUUUUCUAAAACUGCCCUUACCUUACAUUGAGAAUGCUUUGGCCUGUUUGUUCAAUACAUCACUUUAAACUAAAAAUUUUCCAGAUUCAUGGAUAUUGGCCAGAGUUACCCCAAUUUUUAAAGAGGGGGAAAAACUGAUAAGUCUAAAUACCGCCCUAUAUCAGUUUUACCUGUCAUCUCAAGGCUCUCCGAAAGACUUGUGACUAACCAAUUGUACCAGCACAUGAGUGAUAAUGGAUAUUUCUCCCCACAACAGUCUGGCUUUUGUAAACUUCACUCUACCGUAACAUGUUUGCUUAAAAACAUUGAUGACUGGUAUAAAGAACUAGAUUUAGGAAAGCUAGUGGGAUUAGUUUUUAUUGACCUGAAAAUGGCAUUUGACACGGUUGAUCAUGGCAUACUAUGCAAGAAGCUAGAGUUUUAUGGUAUUCAGCAACAGCCGUUAGAAUAAUUUAAAUCAUACCUUUACAACUGGAAGCAAUAUUCUAGGGUAGACCAUGUCGAUUCAUCAAUUAUGGAAACGAAUGUUUAUGUACCCCAAGGCUCAUGUCUUGGACCCCUCUUAUUCCUCAUUUAUAUAAACGAACUCCCACAAGCUGUCCAAAAAACAAAUGUGUCCAUUUAUGCAGCUAACACGAGUCCUUUCCAUAAAUGGCAUGUUAUCACUCAGCUGAAUGAGGCCAUCAAUAAUGACUUUGCACACGUUGAAAAAUGGGUCAGGGGCAAAAAUUUCACUGAAUGUAAUGAAAACCCAUGCCCCGCUUAUUUCCACCAAACCUAAGCAUAAGUCACUAAAGAAUCAAGACGAAUCUUUAAAGCUAAAAAUUCAGGACAAUGAGCUGGAUUUUGUUCAAAAAACCAAAUAUCUUGGAAUACAAAUCGAUAACACAUUAGAUUGGAAGGAGCACACUUAAAAGAUUUCUUCCAAGUUCUCCAGAGGAAUUGGCUUUUUGAAGCUUGCCAAAUCCUUUCUGCUAAAAGAAACUCUGAAGACUAUGUACACAAGUUUUGUGGAGCCACACUUUUACUACUGUUGUUUGAUGUGGGGCUGUUGUGGUCUUACCAAAAUCAAACGCUUACAAAAACUACAAAACCGGGCUGCUAGUAUUGUAUCUGGCAGCCGUUUUGCCACUCAUAAAAGAGAAAGAACUAUAGACGAGCUAAUCGCUAAUGAGUCAAAGAUCAUGGUCUUCAAAUCGAUUCGUGGAAUGGCUCCACAAUACAUGUGUGAUCUUUUCAAAGAAAAAACCAAGUUAAAUUUCUGGGAAUCUUAGGAAUACAUUAACUGACAUAAGGCUACAAAGGAAAAACUCCAAAAAUUGACAGAAAUGCUUCUUGUUUAGAGGUGCUCGGUCUUGGAAUGGCCUUUAAGCUGAGUGUAAACAGGCAUCUUCCUUGACCAACUUAAACAAAAUCUUGCGAAAAUGUAAAUAGGUGUAAUUGUAGAUUAUAUAUUGGAAAUUACCAUUUCGCCUUUCACUAUAGAUAUUUGUAGUAAAAUUAAAUUCAAGUUGAAAUAGGAUUAGACUGUAAAUAUUGAAUUGUCAUUAGGAUAAUUUGUUUUUUAUAAUAAUUUCUGUAAGUAUUUUUAGUGGAGGGCCCCUUUAAAAUCAGCAUUGCUGAAGGGCUACCCUCCUUAAACAUUUGAAAUGAAAUGAAAUAAAUGAAAUGAAUCUGUGAUCGUUUAUUCAAAAAUUGUUCUUACAAUUUGCUUCCUUGUUUCAAGGAAGGUUAAAAAAAAUCUUUGGAUUUAAAUCAAAGUUUCAGUUCAGUUCUAUAAACCCAACAAUCUACACUCAACCGAUAAUCCAACAAUCACCACCCCCCUCCCCCCCCUCCCCCCCUCCCUCAUGACCACACGACCAGCUUUUUUCAUAUACGAUGUGGUUUAUUAAGUAUGUUGCUUCAAAUUUUCUUUUUUGGAUAUUAAUUUUGUGGCCACCUCAAUUAUAUCCAUAUCAUUCGUUCUGUCUUUGUGAUUCUGAAGCACUACUAGAUUGUUAAAUCUUUUCUGACUCAUUCUUGGAUGAGCCAGUUUUUUUUAAUUAUCUAGCGACCGAAAAGGAUCACUAUCCUGUUGCACUUGUUCCCCGAUUUAUGCAAAUCAGUUACCACUGGAGAGAGUACGUCCUUUACCAGCAUUUAUUCAUGUGGAGUCUAAAUUCACAGGACAGUUGUUGUUAAAGUUGAAAGGAGGUUUAGUACCUCAGAAGGCGUAUGUAUGCAUAUUUGUUUGGGCAUCUACACAAAGGGGUCAUUUCGAAUUAACAAACAAUGUGACAGCAGACGAGUUUUUUCAAGCCUUCAAAAGAGUGUACAACAAAAGGGGUCUUUGCAACACAAUGUGUUAAGAUAAUCAAUCUACUUUCAAGAGAGCAAAUAAAGAUUUGAAAUGGGUUGUGGACAAAAAGUGGUAAAACAAGGAAGAAGAUCGAUGGUUAGAGAGUAGACACAGAUUUAGUAAAUAGAGGAAUAAAGUAGAAGUUUAUUACAUAGCAAAGUCCACAUCGAGGAAAAAUUAUGUUGCUCGCUUAAAGAGCCACGAUAACUUUGAUAUACCAGGAGAAGGCAUCAAAUCUAAUAUUGAAGAUGUUGAUGACAAUGAUUUUGAGUCGCUUGAACAGGACAUGACUGGUUCUGCAGAGGCGGAUCUAGGGGGGUGCUAUGGGUGCUUGAGCACCGGUCAGAAUUUUCGGAGAUAUAACAUUCAAUGCAUUUUCUCUAAUCUCUGAAAAACGUCUUGAAUCCUUUUAGAUGAUGUAAAUGCAUUUUCCAGUAAACUGAUGACAUACGGUCAUGCGUUAGUUAGCAUAACCUGUAUCUGCUUUAAACUAUAAAUAGCUAGAAAUUUCAUGCACCCCUAUCAAUCAAAACAAGGCUUCAACCAAUCCGUUUGCCAAAUUUCGGCUCAUCUGAGCACCCCUAUCAAUCAUUCAAUAUACACUGAUGCAUACUGUCACUGAAACGACUAAACCUGUUCGUGUAGCAGCGAUGGCGGACAUAAAAUCGUUGCUGUUGCAGGUGUUCUCGGUAAUUGGUUGCCAGUCGACUGAAGAAAUUGAAACGAAAAACGAGCUUUUGAGUAUUCAGUCAAUCGUGAGAAAAGUUUUUGAUAAGAGCAUGGUGGAUGGUGUUACAAUUAAUUCGAUACCCAUUUCUUGCCAAAUGCAGAUGGCCCCAAAAACAUACUACU